AUACGUAGGGGGCAAGCGUUGUCCGGAAUUACUGGGCGUAAAGGGUGCGUAGGCGGCCCUUCAGGUCAGAUGUGAAAUACCCGUGCUUAACACGGGGGCUGCAUUUGAAACCGGAGGGCUUGAGUGUGGAAGAGGUAAGUGGAAUUCCCGGUGUAGCGGUGAAAUGCGUAGAGAUCGGGAGGAACACCAGUGGCGAAGGCGACUUACUGGGCCACAACUGACGCUGAGGCACGAAAGCGUGGGGAGC
rnacentral:rRNA from 1 species